AGAGUUUGAUCCUGGCUCAGAACGAACACUGGCGGCGUGGUUUAGGCAUGCAAGUCGAACGGGAAAGCCCUUCGGGGUGAGUAUAGUGGCGAACGGGUGAGUAACGCGUGGGAAACCUACCCUUUGGUGGGGGAUAACAGGCCUAACGGCCUGCUAAUACCGCAUACGUCCCCGAGGUCGCAUGGCCUUGGGUAGAAAGGUGGCCUCUCCAUGGAAGCUGCCGCUGAAGGAUGGUCCCGCGUCCCAUUAGCUAGUUGGUAGGGUAACGGCCUACCAAGGCGACGAUGGGUAGCCGGCCUGAGAGGGUGUCCGGCCACACUGGGACUGAGAUACGGCCCAGACUCCUACGGGAGGCAGCAGUCGAGAAGCUUCGGCAAUGGGCGAAAGCCUGACCGAGCGACGCCGCGUGAGCGAUGAAGGCCCUAUGGGUUGUAAAGCUCUGUCAGAUUGGGAAGAAAACUUCGAGGUUAAUACCCCCGAAGCUUGACGGUACCAUCAGAGGAAGCACCGGCUAACUCCGUGCCAGCAGCCGCGGUAAUACGGAGGGUGCAAGCGUUGUUCGGAUUCACUGGGUAUAAAGGGUGCGUAGGCGGCGCGAUAAGUCAGGGGUGAAAUAUGUCGGCUCAACCGACAAACUGCCUCUGAAACUGCCGCGCUUGAGGUCGGGAGAGGAAGGUGGAAUUCCAGGUGUAGCGGUGAAAUGCGUAAAUAUCUGGAGGAACACCAAUGGCGAAGGCAGCCUUCUGGUCCGAUUCUGACGCUGAGGCACGAAAGCUAGGGGAGCAAACGGGAUUAGAUACCCCGGUAGUCCUAGCCGUAAACGAUGGGCACUAGGUGUUGGAGGAGUCUACCCCUUCAGUGCCGCAGCUAAUGCAUUAAGUGCCCCACCUGGGGAGUACGAUCGCAAGGUUGAAACUCAAAGGAAUUGACGGGGGCCCGCACAAGCGGUGGAGCAUGUGGUUUAAUUCGAUGCAACGCGAAGAACCUUACCUGGGCUUGACAUGCAGGGGACAGGUGUAGAAAUACAUCCUUCUUCGGACCCCUGUACAGGUGCUGCAUGGCUGUCGUCAGCUCGUGUCGUGAAAUGUUGGGUUAAGUCCCGCAACGAGCGCAACCCCUGUUUCCAGUUGCCAUCAGGUUAUGCUGGGGACUCUGGAGAGACUGCCGGUGACAAACCGGAGGAAGGUGGGGACGACGUCAAGUCCUCAUGGCCCUUACGCCCAGGGCUACACACGUGCUACAAUGGCCGGUACAAAGGGCAGCAAUACCGUGAGGUGGAGCGAAUCCCAAAAAGCCGGCCUCAGUUCGGAUUGAAGUCUGCAACUCGACUUCAUGAAGCCGGAAUCGCUAGUAAUCGCGCAUCAGCAAUGGCGCGGUGAAUACGUUCCCGGGCCUUGUACACACCGCCCGUCAAGCCAUGAAAGCUGGGAGUAUCUAAAGUCGGUAGCCGCAAGGCGCCGCCUAGGGUAAAACCGGUGAUUGGGGCUAAGUCGUAACAAGGUAAAGGG
rnacentral:rRNA from 1 species